rnacentral:rRNA from 1 species
UACGGAGGGGGCCAGCGUUGUUCGGAAUUACUGGGCGUAAAGAGCCCGUAGGCGGCUUCUCAAGUCUGGGGUGAAAUCUCGCGGCUCAACCGGGGAACUGCCGUGGAUACUGCGAGGCUUGAGUGCGGUAGAGGGGGAUGGAAUUCCUGGUGUAGCGGUGAAAUGCGUAGAUAUCGGGAGGAACACCAGUGGCGAAGGCGCACCUCUGGGCCGUUACUGACGCUGAGGCGAGAAAGCGUGGGGAGCAAACAGG